UCACUCUCUACUGUUUCAAGUUGAUGAAACCACAUAGGUAAGACGAAUCUGAUAGUGGGAGAGUCAUAAGAUAAGACUACUCUCUAUCUCCAUUCAAUGCAUAUUUAUUCUCAAUUAAGUUUCACACUCUAUUUGCAACAGGCUAGACCAGUUCAUGAUCGUUAUAUUUAUUUUUGGUAUAAAUUUCAUUGUUUACAUAAAGGAAAAAAUAUCUCGAAAUUCCAAUACAUAGUAAAAUACAAUGGAUUUCGUUUCUUAAUCAUAUAUAUAAUGGGACUUUUUUUUUCUCUUCUAAGAGCAUACACGUAUGCGUUUUAAUGAUUGUGGGGUCCACUUACUGUCCGGGUUAGUUUGUUUGAAUAAGUUUGGGGUUUGGUCUGAUUUGGGUUCUCAGCGUUUUGUUUGAUAAUUAAAUGAAAUUAUGUGUUUUUUUCUUCAGAAAAUUAGGCUUCAUGUUAUCGUUUUUUUCACAUUCAACGUUGCCGUCUCCGCUUAUCUUCAUCUGCAAACCUAAUGAUUUCUCAUCUCAUCUCUUUGCCUCCCUUUUCGUUUAGUGUAUUUCUUUUAAUUCAGCAAUAAUUGUUAUUCACAUUAAAUCAAGUAAGGAUGUCGACCUCUCUAUUUCCUUUUUGUCAAAUCUAUAAAUAGGAGAGGGAUGAGAGUAGGAUCGAUGUUCCGUCAUGAUUUGUGUAGGCGAAGAUUGGUGUUAAUGGACGCCCUUCGAACGCACCGUCGGUGAUACGAUUGUGUUAUUUUCAGCUCUGUUUCCGCAUUUUGAUCGGUUGUGUAGUGAUUUUUUUUUGGGAGUGGUGUGUUGUUUGGUGUAGGGGAUUUGAAGAGAACAGUGAUGGGAUUCAAAUCAACACCGAUCUUUCAUAGUCGUAAGAUUCAAGAUCUUAAGAAGUGUCCAUUCUCCUAGAUGUGAUGGUAUUUCUCAGAUACUCGGGAGCAGUUUCGGAUCAAUGGUCAUUGAUGCCUCAAAUUCUGACCAGACCAAGCUUCAGGUCGGAGAUAAAUAACUUAGUUUAACAACUCAGAGAAGAAAGAAAGACUUUUAUUUUUUCCCUCACUGUGGAGAUUUUGGUUUCUUGAUGUACCUAAGAGAGAAAACUUGGUUUGCUAAUCCUCUAAACUCAAGGCUGAUGUACAUCUGUCAUGCGCCUAGUACUCCUUACAACAGUAAGCAACCAAAUCAAGAAGUUAAGUUAGAUCCCUCAAGUGGUCCAUGUGCUGAUUACUCUCUGCUGCUUUAGAGGCAGAAAAAGUUUUUUUUUUUUUUAAUUCUUUCAUCUGUAUGCAAAAACUAGCAGAUUGUUUCAUUAGUGGUCUCUUUUGAUGACAUGUUGAACUUCUUUUUUUGAAUUAUACAGGGGUAUCCUGACCUCACAAAAGUGAUCCAGACUAGUCACAUGUUAUCACGUGUCGGUCCACUAUCUCUGGCGAUGCUAAAAUGUUUAUUCCCCAGUGGCCGAGACUCAAACCCUGGUGACUUCACCGUAUUGGGCUUUUGCCCUCAAAUUAAUCACCAUGAGGCCACAAGUCAUGGUUAUUUGAAUCUGAAAAGUAAUCAGAGGCUUUUGUUUUCAUCCAUGAUUAGUGGAACAGAGAGAAGUGCUGGACUUCUGAAAGGUUAAACCAUGAUUAUGUUUUAAAAUGCUUGAGAUGAUAACUAAAGUAUUUCUUAUUUGUGUGGUAGAUUACAUAGACAAUAAAUAUUUCUGCUUUUAACGUUGCUUUUGGCCAUAUUCUUUUUCAUUCUGAUGAUCUUCAUACCUACAUGUCCAACUCCAACGACCAGGUCUCAUACCCGUUGGGCAAUGUCGCAGGUGGGUUGUCUGAACCGAGAAGCAGCAAAUUCAAGGCCUUGACUUUAGUUAUGGAUUGCCUCCGGUUCAGAUGGAGACGCAGGAUGAUAAUGAGUUCUUCGAUCUGAGUUUCUUGGAUCUGCAAAACUGAGACAAUGGGAUGCAGUUGGAUGCAUGUGGAUUUUUUUAUUUGCCUUAAUCCCAUUGUGACUCUUUAUACUUUUUAAUGAUGUAGAGAAUCUCACAAGACUGUCAAAAGGGAACUGUAUAUAGAGAGAUGAUGUUAUAUAUAACAAUUUAACAGAUCCAUAAAACUUAGUACACUGUUUGUCUUUCGUUC